CAUUAUCAUGGAACCUUUUGAGUCUCCUUGAAACCUUAGCUUCAACACUUCCCAUGCUUCUCUUGACGUUUCAGUCACCGACAGGUGUAGCUAGCUUAGGUGAUUCUGGAAUUCCCUCAGUUACUAUCUUCCACAACCCCUUAGACUUAAGGAUUGCCUUCAUCUUAAUGACCCAUAAGCUAUAGUUGUUCCCAUCACACACUGGAACCACUAAUCUUCAAGCUUCAAGGCCACCAAGACCAUCUAGCUCUGAUACCAUGUU